UACGGAGGGUGCAAACGUUGCUCGGAAUCAUUGGGCGUAAAGCGCACGUAGGCGGUCGGCUAUGUCGGAUGUGAAAGCCUCGGGCUUAACCCGAGAAGGGCAUCCGAAACUGGCCGGCUUGAGUACGGAAGAGGGUCUCGGAAUUCCCGGUGUAGAGGUGAAAUUCGUAGAUAUCGGGAGGAACACCAGUGGCGAAGGCGGCGACCUGGGCCAAUAUUGACGCUGAGGUGCGAAAGCGUGGGGAGCAAACAGG
rnacentral:rRNA from 1 species